AAUCUUAAUUAUCCAACAUAUCUUACACAUUCAUACUUUUUUUAUUCAUUUAUAAAUAUUCCAGUUUUUCAUUGAUGAUAAAAUAAAAACACUGCAAAACAAAGUUGUAGACCUCCGCACGUUCUAUAAAAUGAGGCAAAAUUAUGCACGCUAUCACUCUGUUUGCAUAUGUACAUGUACUUUCAUUCCUUUCAAAUCUCCUGCUAUGUAACUUGUUCAAAUGUGCAUUACAUUGCAUCUUAAUCCUCGGCAUAAGACGAAGUGAAACUGAAAAAGCUCAAUUUCUGAGUCAAGAUGCACAAUGCGUUUCUUUGAAGCGGUUGAGUCAACCAAUCGAAAGCUUGCCUGGCAUGCAUAACUCAGCCAAUCAAUCAAGGAGUAAUGCACAAGUUCGAAUUCUGUAUAGUAAAAAUUAAUUGGUGUAAAAUUACUUAAAAUUUGCUUUUGUGCUUUCAUUUAGAACAGUUAUGCGGUUAGGUCGCUUGUUAAGAGUGCAUGGCAUCAUAUUUUAAUCCUCAGAGGAAGAAAUCUCAGAAUUGGAACUCAUUUAAGUACCUAUAUAAGGACCACUAUCUUCCACGAUGUCUGCCACCCACACCACAAAUACCACCACGGUAGUCAUGGCCGCUCCCCAACCCACGGUAGUGGUCCAGCAACCCAAGAAGAAAAGGUGUGCUGACAAAAUCUUGCUGAACCUCUUAAUCUCGCUUAUUUUCCCUUUCUGGCUCUUUGUGUGGUGCUGCAUGUGUAUUUGUGAAAAAUGACACAGACAGAAAGGGUUUCUCUGGCGAUCAUUUCUGGCCAAGGAUUAUGCUCGUGAAUUGUAGAAACGUGAACUGUUGUUCAUAAACUCUAUACCUGUGUCCUUAACCAUAUAUUUAUUUUAUUUGUAUAUCAAUGCUCAGUAUUCAUGUACAUAAAAAGAAUUGUAAUAAAUAGGUGAUCUACCAGUA